rnacentral:rRNA from 1 species
AUACGGAGGGUCCGAGCGUUAAUCGGAAUUACUGGGCGUAAAGCGCGCGUAGGCGGCUAUAUAAGUCAGAUGUGAAAUCCCUGGGCUCAACCUAGGAACUGCAUUUGAAACUGUAUGGCUAGAGUAUGGUAGAGGUGAGUGGAAUUUCAGGUGUAGCGGUGAAAUGCGUAGAGAUCUGAAGGAACAUCAGUGGCGAAGGCGACUCACUGGGCCAUUACUGACGCUGAGGUGCGAAAGCGUGGGUAGCAAACAGGAUUAGAAACCCCUGUAGUCC